rnacentral:rRNA from 1 species
UUUCUCAAUGGGGGCAACCCUGAAGGAGCGACGCCGCGUGGAGGAUGAAGGCUUUCGGGUUGUAAACUCCUGUCAUUUGAGAACAAGUUGGACGCAGUAACUACGCGUCCAUUGAUAGUAUCAGAAGAGGAAGGGACGGCUAACUCUGUGCCAGCAGCCGCGGUAAUACAGAGGUCCCAAGCGUUGUUCGGAUUCAUUGGGCGUAAAGGGUGCGUAGGUGGCGCCGUAAGUGGGGUGUGAAAUUUCGGAGCUUAACUCCGAAACUGCAUUCCAUACUGCGGUGCUUGAGGACUGGAGAGGAGACUGGAAUUUACGGUGUAGCAGUGAAAUGCGUAGAGAUCGUAAGGAAGACCAGUGGCGAAGGCGGGUCUCUGGACAGUUCCUGACACUGAGGCACGAAGGCCAGGGAAGCAAACGGGAUUAGAUACCCCGGUAGUCCUGGCAGUAAACGGUGCACGUUUGGUGUGGGAGGAUUCGACCCCUUCUGCGCCGGAGCUAACGCGUUAAACGUGCCGCCUGGGGAGUACGGUCGCAAGAUUAAAACUCAAAGAAAUUGACGGGGGCCCGCACAAGCGGUGGAGUAUGUGGCUUAAUUCGAUGCAACGCGAAGAACCUUACCUGGCCUUGACAUGCAUCUCUAAGCUGGUGAAAGCCAGUGAGUGUCGAAAGACACAAUUUGCACAGGUGCUGCAUGGCUGUCGUCAGCUCGUGUCGUGAGAUGUUGGGUUAAGUCCCGCAACGAGCGCAACCCCUGUGAACUGUUGCCACUCCCUUGAUUGGGAAGCACUCUGUUCAGACUGCCCUGUGAAACGGGGAGGAAGGUGGGGACGACGUCAAGUCAGUAUGGCCCUUACGGCCAGGGCUGCACACGUACUACAAUGCCCAGUACAGAACGAUCCGAGACCGCGAGGUGGAGGAAAUCUUUCGAAAACUGGGCUCAGUUCGGAUUGGAGUCUGCAACUCGACUCCAUGAAGCCGGAAUCGCU